rnacentral:misc_RNA from 1 species
AUACUAGCCACUGAAAAUGCCGGUUCACUUUCUUCGAAUCGGCUUUCAAUGUGUAUUUCACACAAAUUAAUCAACUUCCCCUUCCGAGGAUCUGGCCUGAAAGGUC